rnacentral:rRNA from 1 species
AGAGUUCGAUUAUGGCUCAGGACGAACGCUGGCGGCAGGCCUAACACAUGCAAGUCGAGCGAGAAGGUUUCCUUCGGGAAGCUGGAGAGCGGCGGACGGGUGAGUAACGCGUGGGAAUGUACCCUUUGGUGGGGGAUAACCUUGGGAAACCGGGGCUAAUACCGCAUAAGCCGGACCUUUAUUGGUUUGGGAAAGAUUUAUCGCCGAAGGAUCGGCCCGCGUAAGAUUAGCUAGUUGGUGUGGUAAUGGCGCACCAAGGCUACGAUCUUUAGCUGGUCUGAGAGGAUGAUCAGCCACACUGGGACUGAGACACGGCCCAGACUCCUACGGGAGGCAGCAGUGGGGAAUAUUGGACAAUGGGGGCAACCCUGAUCCAGCCAUGCCGCGUGAGUGAAGAAGGCCUUAGGGUUGUAAAACUCUUUCACCGGUGAAGAUAAUGACGGUAGCCGGAGAAGAAGCCCCGGCUAACUCCGUGCCAGCAGCCGCGGUAAUACGGAGGGGGCUAGCGUUGUUCGGAAUCACUGGGCGUAAAGGGCACGUAGGCGGUUUUUCAAGUAGGGCGUGAAAGCCCGGGGCUCAACCCCGGAGGUGCGUUCUAAACUGGAUGACUAGAGUCCGGGAGAGGGU